UACGGGGGGAGCAAGCGUUGUUCGGAUUUACUGGGCGUAAAGGGCGCGUAGGCGGCCACCGCAAGUCGGUUGUGAAAUCUCUGGGCUUAACCCAGAAAGGUCAACCGAUACUGCGGGGCUAGAGUGCAGAAGGGGCAACUGGAAUUCUCGGUGUAGCGGUGAAAUGCGUAGAUAUCGAGAGGAACACCUGCGGCGAAGGCGGGUUGCUGGGCUGACACUGACGCUGAGGCGCGAAAGCUAGGGGAGCAAACAGG
rnacentral:rRNA from 1 species